AUUGAACGCUGGCGGCAUGCUUUACACAUGCAAGUCGAACGGCAGCGCGGGCUUCGGCCUGGCGGCGAGUGGCGAACGGGUGAGUAAUGCAUCGGAACGUGCCCAGUAGUGGGGGAUAGCCCGGCGAAAGCCGGAUUAAUACCGCAUACGACCUGAGGGUGAAAGCGGGGGAUCGAAAGGCCCCGCGCUAUUGGAGCGGCCGAUGUCGGAUUAGCUAGUUGGUGGGGUAAAGGCUUACCAAGGCGACGAUCCGUAGCUGGUCUGAGAGGACGACCAGCCACACUGGGACUGAGACACGGCCCAGACUCCUACGGGAGGCAGCAGUGGGGAAUUUUGGACAAUGGGGGCAACCCUGAUCCAGCCAUGCCGCGUGCGGGAAGAAGGCCUUCGGGUUGUAAACCGCUUUUGUUCGGGAAGAAAUCCUCUGGGCUAAUACCCCGGGGGGAUGACGGUACCGGAAGAAUAAGCACCGGCUAACUACGUG
rnacentral:rRNA from 1 species